CGGCCCAAUACGCGCUACUCCGCCGACGAGUAUGUGUGCACCGCCUCGACGUCGACGCCAUCACCCGUCCCCACCUCCGCUCGUGCUGCCCUUCGGGAUCCCCACUGGCUAGCUGCGAUGCAGGAGGAGUUCGAUGCCUUACAGCGCAACCGCACGUGGCAGCUUGUUCCGCGACCCCCUCGUGCCAACAUCAUCUCUGGCAAGUGGGUGUUUCGCCACAAGACUCGCCCAGACGGUUCUCUCGAGCGCUACAAGGCUCGCCGGGUGGUUCGUGGUUUUCGGCAGCGCGCGGGCGUGGACUUCACCGACACUUUCGCCCCGGUUGUGAAACCGGGCACGAUCCGC
rnacentral:rRNA from 1 species